ensembl:Y_RNA Y_RNA Y RNA
GGCUGGUCUGAAGGUAGUGAGUUAGCUCAAUUGAUUGGUCACAGUCAGUUAUAGGUCAACCUCCUUGUUCUACUCUUCCCCUCUUCUCACUACUGCACUUCACUAGUCUUAA